CCCCCACCUACCCGGAAAGGCUGGAUGGGUGCAGGCCCAUGGUGGAUUUACUAUUCCCAGAGAGGUCAUGGCAACUGUCAGAUGAGGGUGCCAGGUAUGUAGGCCAUAUUCAGACCUCAGGUCCAAAGAACACAGGUGAAGAGUGAAAUUCCUAAUGGUGAUUGGGAGGAAGCCCGGCCAAAUCAGCUGGCAGUGACUGCAGGAAACCGCACUUCAGGACUGCAGGAAAGGAGAAGAUCUGGAGACUGUGAACAUUACACAGCCAUUCACAGGUUGGCAGCUGUUGCCCUGGAGUUCUGAGGGAGAUUCAGUGUCUUCAGCUACAGUGAUGCCUGCAGAGACAUCACAGCGUCACAGACCACUACAGGCCUUUACCAUGACCAUUGGCAUGGAGAGUUCUGCUUCUGCAUGCCAGCCACUGGCUCAUCAGGCAAGUCACUCAGAUCUGGGAUAGACUCAUAAGUUAAUAUAGAAA
rnacentral:lncRNA from 1 species